rnacentral:sRNA from 1 species
GCCUAGUCAUAUAUUUUUUUCAACUUACAUCUCGACUGCAUGACGCUGAAAGAUCUGUCGCUCCUGUGUUUGAACGAUGUAAGACACCGGUCAUCCACUUAGUAAGAAUUAAAUCACCAUCAGCCGUCCGGGAAACUUGAUGUAAAGUACAGCGAUUCCCCGGUGUUUGUCUGUUUUACAGAAACUGAUGUACUCGUAUUCUCUUGUCAGAAUAGGGAAGCGAUCGAACACCGAUUGGAAGACACGGGUCAUCGUGUACAAGUUAAACAUGGCCUCCAUUCUCUAUCUGGGAUUCGCAGUGGUUGUUGCUCUCGCCUCUGGUGUAGAUGCCCAAUCCCCCAGACGAUGUAGUUCAUUUCCCAGAGAUACCUGUCCAGUAGGAUACAAUUGUGUAAACGGAUAUUGUGAAGAAUCGUCCUCACCAUUCCCCUGCCGAUCUGACUUCGAAUGUCCCAGAGACUACGAAUGUAUCCGAGGCCAGUGUGUGAGACGACCUCGAGACUGCAGAGUGAACCCAUUUAUCUGUCAAUCAUUUGAGAGAUGCAACCAAUUUACUGGGCGAUGUGACAUCGGACCCCCAGGUGACGAUGACUGCCGACGUAACCCAUUCAUUUGCCGUCGCCCUGAAGUUUGCAACAGACAAACCGGCCGUUGUGAACAAAGUAAGUUUUUUAACCCAUCCAUAUGUGGACCCUUCGAGACCUGCAACGGUCUAACUGGUCUUUGUGAACCAGGAAAUUCUGACUGCCGACCGAACCCAUCCAUCUGUGGACCAUUCCAGACCUGUAACUUCAGAACUGGCCGUUGUGAAAGUGAGCCAGGUGAUUGCCGAACCUUUCCAUGUCCACCUGGCCAGUCAUGCCAGUACAGAUUUGGAACUUAUCAGUGCGUUCAAGGCAAUUCCCCGCCCGUGACUGCCCUCGAGGGUUUUACUGCAGACGAGGCGAAUGCGUUCGUGAUUUUCUUCGCGCUGCAGGAAGUAUAUCCGGUGGUGACCCUGCUACUGGAACCGAGGCUGCCGACACUGGAAAUGGAAUGUAAAGCGAUGUAUUGCCUUAUGUGAUGUUUGUAUCAUGUAAAUAAAUUUGGGGUUGUGAUUCAU